rfam:Lysinibacillus xylanilyticus strain DSM 23493 Scaffold2, whole genome shotgun sequence.
AAUAAAGGAUGUUAGCCUAAAACCUUCGCAUCCUGCGAAAAAGGCUAACUGACCUGCAUCGGUAAA